CCACCGCGGGGCUGGCCGUCAGCUGAGUGCCUUUUCUUUCUGUGUGUGCUUUUUUUUCCUGACUAUAAUCAGCAAAGCCACCUAGUGGCCGCCGGCAGAACUGACAGCACAUCCCCUGCUCAGCCUCAGGCUAGGCAGGAAGUGUGUGACUGGUGUUUACUUCCUGCCUGAGGCUGAGUGCUGUAGAACAGAGGCGCGGAGCUACAACAGAAUUAAAUAUGGGAUACAGUCAAAAGAGGGCUGACAGAGGCGGAACAGUGCGUUUCAGAGAUCCAGCUUCAAUGGGCUCCACCGUGACCUCAGAAAGCAGAGGCCAGGAGGAAGCGGCCAGGACUGCAGAAUAUGUUGGCAUUUCAAAACCAGUGAUGACCGCAACAUCAGCACUUCUAAUGAGACUUCUACUGUGAAAACGAAUUUGUCUAUGGAUUAAAUUUACUAAAGAUGCAGUGACGGAACCUGUGUGGUGGGCCCAUGUGCAAAAAUAAAAAUAAUUUUGGCCUCCCUAUUCCACCCCAACCCAAGUUCACAAUAUGCUACAUGGCCACAUGGCAACCCUAAAAAGAUUUUUAAGUAUACAAACGGCAAAAGGUAAAAAAAAAAAAAAAUGAAUAUAGGACCAUUAAAAGGCGAGUUGGUUGUCUUGAUUAAUGAUGACACAGAUAAACCAGAAAUAUUGAACAAAUAAUUUUCAUCAUGUUUACUAGAGAGGACAAGAUGGUGGGUUUAGUACACAACAAAAGCGACGAUAACAUCCUACUGCUAAGUACUUGGUUAAAUUAGGAAAUAGUCGGGGAGAGACUA